GACGAACGCUGGCGGCGUGCUUAACACAUGCAAGUCGAACGAAGAGCGACGGAAGCUUGCUUCUAUCAAUCUUAGUGGCGAAUGGGUGAGUAACGCGUAAUCAACCUGCCCUUCAGAGGGGGACAACAGUUGGAAACGACUGCUAAUACCGCAUACGAUCUAAUCUCGGCAUCGAGGAUGGAUGAAAGGUGGCCUCUACAUGUAAGCUAUCACUGAAGGAGGGGAUUGCGUCUGAUUAGCUAGUUGGAGGGGUAACGGCCCACCAAGGCGAUGAUCAGUAGCCGGUCUGAGAGGAUGAACGGCCACAUUGGGACUGAGACACGGCCCAGACUCCUACGGGAGGCAGCAGUGGGGAAUCUUCCGCAAUGGACGAAAGUCUGACGGAGCAACGCCGCGUGAGUGAUGACGGCCUUCGGGUUGUAAAGCUCUGUUAAUCGGGACGAAAGGCCUUCUUGCGAAUAGUGAGAAGGAUUGACGGUACCGGAAUAGAAAGCCACGGCUAACUACGUG
rnacentral:rRNA from 1 species